CUUAAAGGCUGGAAAUGUAGGCAUCCAGGGCACUGACGCGCUCUCUCCGGAUCUCCUCACUCAUUGGCUGCGGGUAUCUCGCACAGCGAACGGACCGCCCUGCCCUUUCGGUUCCCGUAGGGCGUCAUCGUGCUUCCUUUGAAGACUGUAAUUACCUCUAAAAGCCUGGUCGAUAUGUUUGUUUGCUCCUUAGCUGCCUGAGAAUUUUUGAGAAGUAGCAGUAAGGUGUAUGAACUGAAAAAACAAAACAAAACAAAACCCCACAACGUAAGAGCUGGUGUACUGCUGGUCAAUGACUACCGUGGCUAAUGACUUGAUCCUUGUAGAAGUGGAUGGUGUGUGACAUUCUUUGUUUUGCAAGGGCUUAAGCCUUUUAAAAUAAUUUUAGGACUUUAAAGAUUUCUCUGGUGCCAGUAUGUAUUAUAAAAUGUCCAAGAGAAUCCAGUCAUCCCUUCUGAUGCUUACCAAACCUGAAAGUGGUAGGAAUAAACAUCUAAUGGUGCAGCCCUGACCAAGUGUUGGAUGGGGACUAGUGGUUUAUUUUUUUGGGAUGAUGCCAUCUUACUCAUCAUGUGACUGUACCCAUUCCUGCAUGGACCUUUCCCAAGCACUAGCACAGGUGCAAAUCCAUCAGAGUCAUUGUUUGCAUAAAACCAAGCGAAGAGAAGCGAAGAGAAGAGAGGAGGACUGAUGAAAAGACAGACUGGACAGCUGCAUGGCUUAUGAAGUGAGCCCCAUGCACCCCGCGAGGAGAGACUACCCAGCUUUGCUACGAUCUGUACACUGCCUUGAGGCUUGGGACGGCGUGGUCACGGCGAUAGAAAGUAUCUUAUUUAUAUAUAGAUAUAUAUAAUUUAUAUAAAUAUAUAGAAAUUAUUAUAUAUGUAUUAUAUACUCUCAUAUAGUUUAUUAUAUAUUUACACGCAUUUGGACUAGAAAAUCUAUGGAGAUUUCAUCAAUGGUACUGUGUUAUUAGAGAAAUGCUUUAAUUUUCAUAUUCCAAUCAGAUGGCAUCUUAUAUCCCAACUGGUUGGGGAGGGAGUGAAAGUGGUAGUUAAGUGCUGUACCAAGGGCAUCUGCAUUGGUCAUUCUCUUGAGAGCUGGGCUUUUCUUUAGGAGGGGUCAGCUGGAGGAUGGUGAGAAAGGGCUUUUGCCCGGGGGCCAGAGGCUUGGAGCCGUGACCCUAGAGCCGAUGCUGCCCUUGGGGCACAGCCAGGCCCGCGUGUGGGGAGCGAGAGAAUGGCUAACGGUGCUCCCACGGUAUUAAAUUGCCGAUUGUUUUAUGCCACCUGACAUGUCUGCAUGAGAGGUUUCUUUUUGUUCAUUUGUAAGCUGCUGUUAAACCAAAACCAUGUUGUGCUACUGUGUCAGCCUUUUACUUUUACUGUUUAAGUGAAUGUGUAGAAUCCAAUUUGACCGUGUUCUAAAGGCUCAUGAUGUUCUGGAGGAGCCGGGCCUCGUGAUAGACUUGGUGGCCCGGGCUUGGCCAUCCCGUCAGCGGAAAGGGAAGUGGGGGCAGGUGAGAACCGACAGGAGCUGGGCCUCCUAUUGUAACGUGUCCCUUCACUCACCUGCGAGGGACAUGCUGGGCUCAGCCGAGGCCCUGUCAUGGGACCCACUGGCAGGGACGGGGAGUCACUUGCCUUCCAGCUCUGCGCUGGGACAGUGGGACGGCCCUGAGCUUGGCCAGCCGCGUAAUGAGAAGUUUGAUUUGGGGUUUUUUCGCAGCUGCUUCAUAUGCCCUACCUACCCCAAUCCCUCACCAACAGCUGGUAGCUUACUAUUUCUUCAAGAAGAAAGUAGACUUUAAUGCUGUCAAUUUGAGCUGUAGAGCUGAGAUUCACUUACUUUUGAGAUGUGAAACCUUGUUGCUUUUUCCCAGAGUCAAACGGCAGUGAUUGUGGUCAAGGGGGUUUUUCUCUGACCACAAAUGCAGGUGGCAGGUGUGGCCCAGGCCCCGCCCCACCGCACCCCACCCCUCCAUGCUCCUUUGAAGCCACCAUGCCUCCCUCAGCUCCACGCUGGAGGCACGACCCAUGGGAGAAGAGCGUGGACAUGCUUGGCCCCAGGGUUGGGCCUGUUGUUUCCUAGCCCACUGUGUUACAACUGGUGCAAAGGAUACAUGUUGAAGAUGCUUUGAGCGCUACCAGCCAGAUUUAGGAAGUCUGUUAACAGUUCUCCUACCAGCAUGAUGAAGCGAACUGUAAAGUGUGGAGCCCAGAAUGUGGAUAAAGAAAGGAGCAGCUUUACCUGUGCAGUACACUGGAUUGGAGGGAAGAGGGGUAAAGUGGUGUCCGAUUAUGACUCUGGUGAGGAGGGGGUGAGCUGGGAGUGUUGUUGAUUUCUCUGAUGUUAAAUAAUGUAGUUUGAAUGAUGCGCAACCCUCUACCCCUCCCAGGGAAGGAAAACAGAGAUUCAAAGCGAGCAUGAUAUAGUUGGUUUACCAGUGUUCCUUCCAAGGAGCCAUAUAUGUAUAUAUAUAUAUAUACUUUUUUUUUAAUAAAUGAUAGUUGCAAUAAAAAAAAAAAAGAAUGGGGAGAAUAGUGCCAUGUAUCACAAGAACUGAACAAUUUUUAGGAAUAGGAUAGUUUAGUGUCAAAUUCUGCAGAGUGAUUAACUGAGAAGAGAACUCAGACAAAUCGAUUGGAUUUGGCAAUUAGUAUCCUGGAUGGUGACCUCUGCUAGAACACUGUUAGCCUACCUGCUGUGGGACAGGAGGCAUGAGAUGCAAAGAAGGGGUGAACUAUUCCUGUGAGAAGAUUCCUUUCAAAAGCAGGAUGGUAGCUCCAUAGAAAGUCUGAAUAGAGGAAGAAUAUUUAUGGAUUGCUUUGUUUAUUUUAAAUGGAGGAGAUUAGAGCAUGAAUAUAAUUUGUGAAGAAACAAGCUGGUAGACAAAUAGAGGGCUAAAAUAUAAGAAAAACAGGGAAUACCUAAUAAAACAAGAUUCUGGAAAUGGUCAGAUGUGAUCAAAAACUAGAUGAAGCAUUUGUUCAUACAUGGAGAGUAUUACUUUUUUUCUUUCGGAGUCUGAAAGAAAUGGUGUAAAAAUGAGUGUAAGUAUAGUUAAGUUUUUAGGUAUAGGGUGGAGAGUUUGCAUUCAAGGAUCUUCACACCAUGGUCUCUAUCCUUUAUUAAUGCAUUUCGUCUGACUUAUACAUGAGUCAAACUGGAUUACUUCCUCUUGCCCUGAUAUGUCCCGUGAUUUCCAUAAUGCUUUGUUUCCUUUAAUUCAUUCUCUCUUUUCUAAUAUCUCCUUGUUUAAAACUUAUACAUUUUUAAAGUUCCAAACAAAUUAUACCUCCUACUUGAAGCUAUCCUCACCAUAUGAUCCAGUUCAAGUGUGAGUUCUCAUAUCUGAAAGUUACAGGUUAAAUAGUCAAUGAUACCUCCCAAAACACAACCAGUAUAGAAUACUGGAGGGGAACAAGAUGUGUGUGUGUGUGUGUGUGUGUGUGUGUGUGUGUGGUGAUUAGGGAAGAAUCUUUCAGCAUAUGAUCUUUUGUGGUCUGAAAACAUAUGAGAAUCUUGUGGGUAGUGGAAGGGGUUCUUUGUUUUCAUCUGGCUCAGUAGUUUUAGAAAAUAUAUUUAGUUCUCUUAAAAUUUAAUUCAAUUUGCUGCUUUUUGAAAACACAAACUUCACUCUUUUUUAUUAAAUGUAAAAUGUGUAUUAGAUUUGAUUUGCUGAAAAGUAAGGAAAUGUUUAUUUUUGUUUUGUUUCUGUUUAAGUUUCCCAAAGGUAAUUGUAAAAUUUUGUUAAAUUGCUUAUAUAAGCUGUGAGUUUUUAUCAAUAUAUAAGAAAAAUAAAAUUAAGGAAUAUAAUAAAAAGUAGUUGGAUAUCAAUAUAGUAAUCAAAAACAAGUAAUGAGAAGAGCCUAAAUUUGGAGUAAGAAGACCUGACGUUGAAUCCAAAUAUAUAACUUGAGCAUAUUGCUUCACUUCUCUGGUUCACAUGCUUUCUAACCUAAAAAUAGGUUGUUAGGAGGAGCAAUUGAAAAAAAAUUUUGAAAAUGUGUUGUGAACCAUAAAGUCUUGUAAAUAUAUUAGUACACUUUUUAGAAGCAUUCAUGUAAAAGUAUAUCCAAGUUUUAUUUAAGAAGCUUUACUGUAUUUACAGUAUACAAUUCUCUAUAAGUUUUACAGAUUUUGAAAUCCAUAUUCAUGGCAAUUUGCUUCUUAUAACUAAGCACAUGUUGACAAUUAAAAGUCCCUCAGCAAAUUUUUAUUAAAUGAAUUAAUAGUGAAUAAUUGGUUCUAU